UAAGUUAAGUUUUUUGUGUGUGCUGGCGUGACAUUAUUGUGCUGUUGAUCAAUGAUCUCUCUGUUUCUCUUCUCGCCGUCGCCACACAAAUGACCUAAAUUUUAAUUAGGUUUAGGUUUUCGUUUUUCUCCAAAACGCACACACACACAACACGCUCUCCUUCCUCUUGCCUCCACCACGAUGCAUGGGGCCACCAUGCCCUUUGCCG
rnacentral:lncRNA from 1 species